UCUGCUUGUGUCUGCCACGCUCAUGCCUGUGUCUCUUUCCUAGAUCCUGCCUGGCCUGUACAUCGGCAACUUUAAAGAUGCCAGAGAUGUGGAACAAUUGAGCAAGAACAAGGUGACACACAUUCUGUCUGUCCAUGAUAGUGCCAGGCCCAUGUUGGAGGGAGUUAAAUACCUGUGCAUUCCAGCAGCGGAUUCACCAUCUCAAAAUCUAGGGAUCGGCAUGCCGUGAGAGUUGCAGAACGUGAAGCAUGCUUGGCAGACUGGAAGGACAAGACACUUCAAAGAAAGUAUUAAAUUCAUCCACGAGUGCCGACUGCAGGGCGAAGGCUGCCUCGUGCACUGCCUGGCCGGGGUCUCCAGGAGCGUGACGCUGGUGAUCGCCUACAUCAUGACCGUCACUGACUUUGGCUGGGAGGAUGCCCUGCACACUGUGCGCGCGGGCAGAUCCUGUGCCAACCCCAACCUGGGCUUCCAGAGGCAGCUGCAGGAGUUUGAGAAGCACGAGGUCCACCAGUACCGGCAGUGGCUGAAGGAAGAGUACGGAGAGAACACUUUGCAGGAUGCUGAAGAAGCCAAGAGCAUUCUGGGUAAAUAUAGAGAGCAAGGGCGUGUGGACUCGCAGCCUGGCGCUAGGCGGUGGAGCAGCUUUUCAGCCCUUCCUCCUCUGGCCUGCAGCUACACAACAGAGACCUAAGGCAGAGGGAUCUGCUCCCUGCCUUCCCACCGCUUGUCUUCACGCCCGCACCGUCUGUGUGGUGGUCUGCUGGUCUGCUGGCCGCUGCCCUGGAUGAGGGAGGCAGCCUGGGCGAGGCAAACUGCUCAGGGCUCCUCCCCAGGACCCUGCUCAGCCCUGCUCCGAGCCCCUUUGCUCUGCCCCCCUGCACACUGAGCUGGCUGCCCUGGGCUGCUUCCAAGUUACUGGGCUACCACACACUGCCAUGUGCAUGUGGAUGCACAGUGUGAGUCUGUGUGUGCAGCCCGUGUGAGGCUGUGUGCAUCGCGAGAGUGCACGUGUGUGAAUGUUGGGUGUUCAUGUGGCCGGAACUCAUCAAACCCGAGCUGCCCAGAUCGGUGGUGUGGCCACUUCUCCCUCCUCUGACACCAUGUGGAAAGCUUUUGUACUUGACCUUGGAGAAGCUGCUGGGCAGGAGCCGCCUGUAACACAAGCAGACAGCUGGAGGAAUCGGGGGAUGAGCCAAUGAAAGCUACCGCCGCCGCCGGCAGUCCAUGGGGAAGGCGAGGUCUGGCCCUUCUCUGGGAUGCUGUUCCAGGGACCCUGAAGUGUGUGUGCAUUGGCAAGGAAAGCCCCUGGGGAAAUGGCUUGGGCUGGGUGUGGGCACUGCAGGUCCUGGUUUCUCUGCUGCCCCUUCAGCCUGUGGUGCCCUGAGAUCUGCUUGGUGUUCUGGACGCAUUCAAGGUUCUUCAGCCAAAGGUUUCCUGCGUGAGGGCCCUUCCCUCCCCUCCUCCCCACUUGCUUCAUGGCCUCCAGCCUCUCACCGUUCUUGCUCUGCAAAGGCCCCUUCUUAAGGUUUGCAUGCACCUGCAGGAAUUGGGAAGAGCAUUAGGCACUGUAGCCAUUUGCAUUUAAAAAUGCCAAAGCACUUAUUAAGCUCCUUGAUGUAUGCUGUGGAUUUGGUCUUUGAUCUCAGCUACCUCAUUAAAUGUCUUCUGAAAAGGUGGUUUUGGUUAUUCUAGUCCACUCUGCCUCAGAGUUGACAAUUUUGGUCAUGAUUGCUUUUGAAGCCAAAGGGCAAGUCAUCAGUAUCCUUGAGCUAUUUCACAUUCCGAAGUGGGCUCCCACCAUGUUUUCGGUGAUGUGAUUCCACAGAGCUGGUGAGCACCUGCAUGUGCGGUGUGAGCCACAAGGCCCUGUGUAUGUGCCAUGGUCCAGUUCCUUAUACCAACUGGAGUUUGUGCACACACAGAGCCACGUGAAUGAAAAAUGUAUGCCUCCUCUCCCAAAAAAGAUGUCAUAACCCAGUUUCUCCAAGUUCUACCAUGAAAAGAGCCUCUGAAUGAGCAGAGUGGUUUUCCCAUUGCAUGAAGGGUGUGUCAAAGACAAGCUCUCUGGGGAUGGGGAAACCAAGUGGCCAGCUGUGCACACAUACAGCCCCAGUGCAUGAGACAGGCCGUGGCCACAGGUACACGUGUCCUUAACUAAGAGAACUGCCUGUGAGGUACACUUUUGCUUUAAACCAAAAAGAGAUGUAAAUAUACAACAGAGGGCUACAGGUGUAACUCGGUAGAGCGCCUGCCUGGCAUGCACCAGGCCCUGGGUUUAAUCCCCAGUACAACAAAAGGAAAUGAAAAGAACACCUGAGCAAGUACUCGAAAGUGUGUGUCCAUUUGUGAGUUACCUGACACACUCCCACAGGCUUUGGAGUGUUUUAAUAUUUGUUGCCAGUAAUGUUCUUUCUCCGCAGCCACUCCAGGAAUUCUGAAGUACUGGCCAUUUCUCAGAAGACUGUAACAUACCCGAAGUUUGUGAAAUAUUGCAAAGUUUAGGCUGGUGCUGCCACAAAGAAAAGUGACCUGGAGUUUAAGUAUCCAGCAGUGAUUUGUAACUUGUUUUUCAUCUCCCAGGGAGUACAUAUGUAAUCAUGUUGUAACGUGUUGUGAGCUGUGGGGAUUCUUUAGCAAGAGAAAACACUUUUAGCCUAAUUCCACGCUGUGGCUGUCCCUUGAACCUGACAUUGAUGCUCUCCAGAGCCCCGCUGCUGCCAUUGUGACGCUGUUUAGUAAUCUCAAUUACUUCCUGUGAGCAGUGCCCAAGGAGGAAGCCAGCACCUGAGGACAGGGACAGACUCAACUUGGGGCAUGUUUCUCCCAGGCUGAUGGUCUCCACAUGGAAUUCCCCCAAAGCUACAGUUUUGUUAAUAAAGGGCAACCUGGCAUAUUA